CCUUGAAAUACCACCCUUUAAUGUUUGAUGUUCUAACGUGGACCCGUAAUCCGGGUUGCGGACAGUGUCUGGUGGGUAGUUUGACUGGGGCGGUCUCCUCCUAAAGAGUAACGGAGGAGCACGAAGGUUGGCUAAUCCUGGUCGGACAUCAGGAGGUUAGUGCAAUGGCAUAAGCCAGCUUGACUGCGAGCGUGACGGCGCGAGCAGGUGCGAAAGCAGGUCAUAGUGAUCCGGUGGUUCUGAAUGGAAGGGCCAUCGCUCAACGGAUAAAAGGUACUCCGGGGAUAACAGGCUGAUACCGCCCAAGAGUUCAUAUCGACGGCGGUGUUUGGCACCUCGAUGUCGGCUCAUCACAUCCUGGGGCUGAAGUAGGUCCCAAGGGUAUGGCUGUUCGCCAUUUAAAGUGGUACGCGAGCUGGGUUUAGAACGUCGUGAGACAGUUCGGUCCCUAUCUGCCGUGGGCGCUGGAGAACUGAGGGGGGCUGCUCCUAGUACGAGAGGACCGGAGUGGACGCAUCACUGGUGUUCGGGUUGUCAUGCCAAUGGCACUGCCCGGUAGCUAAAUGCGGAAGAGAUAAGUGCUGAAAGCAUCUAAGCACGAAACUUGCCCCGAGAUGAGUUCUCCCUGACUCCUUGAGAGUCCUGAAGGAACGUUGAAGACGACGACGUUGAUAGGCCGGGUGUGUAAGCGCAGCGAUGCGUUGAGCUAACCGGUACUAAUGAACCGUGAGG
rnacentral:rRNA from 1 species